rnacentral:tRNA from 1 species
GCCGGGGUGGUGGAACGGCAGACACGGAGCACUCAAAAUGCUCUGCCCGAUGGGCGUGCGGGUUCGAGUCCCGCUCCCGGCA